rnacentral:rRNA from 1 species
UACGGAGGAUGCGAGCGUUAUCCGGAUUUACUGGGUGUAAAGGGAGCGUAGGCGGUGCUAUAAGUCUGAUGUGAAAGCCCGGGGCUCAACCGCGGGACUGCAUUGGAAACUGUAGGACUGGAGUGUCGGAGGGGUAAGUGGAAUUCCUAGUGUAGCGGUGAAAUGCGUAGAUAUUAGGAGGAACACCGGUGGCGAAGGCGGCUUACUGGACGACAACUGACGCUGAGGCUCGAAAGCGUGGGGAGCAAACAGG